rnacentral:rRNA from 1 species
GACGAACGCUGGCGGCGUGCUUAACACAUGCAAGUCGAACGAAGUGGCGCACGGGUGAGUAAUACGUGGGUAACCUGCCCUCCUUUUUGGGAUAAGCCUUGGAAACGGGGUCUAAUACCGAAUAAAGGGGGAUGUGGUCUGGGCCUAUCUGCUUGUUGGUGGGGUGUUGGCCUACCAAGGCGGUGACGGGUAGCCGGCCUGAGAGGGUGCACGGCCACAUUGGGACGGAGAUGCGGCCCAGACGACGACGGAGUGGAGCAGUGGGGGAUAUGGCAGCAUGGUCGAAAGAGUGAUGCCGCGACGCUGCGGGGGGGAUGCAGGCUUUCGGGUUUUAAACCUCGUGCGGUAGCGAACGGGUAGGUGGAGAAGAAGCGCCGGCUAACUACGUGCCAGCAGCCGCGGUAAUUC